AUUGAACGAUGGCGGCAGGCCUAACACAUGCAAGUCGAACGAGUGGCGGAAGGGUGAGUAAUGUCUGGGAAACUGCCUGAUGGAGGGGGAUAACUACUGGAAACGGUAGCUAAUACCGCAUACCAUCGGAUGUGCCCAGAUGGGAUUAGCUAGUAGGUUGGGUAAAGGCUCAACUAGGCGACGAUCCCUAGCGGGUCUGAGAGGAUGACCGGCCACACUGGAACUGAGACACGGUCCAGACUCCUACGGGAGGCAGCAGUGGGGAAUAUUGCACAAUGGGCGCAAGCCUGAUGCAGCCCUGCCGCGUGUAUGAAGAAGGCCUUCGUGUUUUAAAGUACUUUCAGCGGUGAGGCGUUACCCGCAGAAGAAGCACCGGCUAACUCCGUGCCAGCAGCCGCGGUAAUUC
rnacentral:rRNA from 1 species